rnacentral:tRNA from 1 species
GGCCGCGUGGUCUAGUGGUAUGAUUCUCGCUUCGGGUGCGAGAGGUCCCGGGUUCGAUUCCCGAUUGGCUUGGAUG